CGACGUCCAGCAAGUUGAGGCUGAAGAGCCACCCCUCCCAGAGGAAGGGCAAGGGAUCAAAAGCCCCAGGAAAUACGGCAGCCUCAGUUGCUUCCAGCAUGGAAGGGCAGAGAAGGAACGGAAGUUUCUUGAGGGGCACCAAACUUCUGCAGACUGGGUCGACCUCUUCAUGAAGCUAUCCACUACGACUCCAAGAUCUCAUUCCUGGGCAAAAAAGAGGAACCUCGGAACUACAGAUCAGUGAGCCUGACAUCGAUCCCUGGGAAAAUUCUGGAGCAGAUUAUAAAGCGGUCAAUCUGUCAGCACCUUGAAAACAAUGCAGUGAUUACU